rnacentral:rRNA from 1 species
CCCUUAGAUGUUCUGGGCCGCACGCGUGCUACACUGAGUAAUUCAAUGGGUAAGGGAACGCUAGAGCAUUACCUAAUCUUGAAAUUUGCUCGUGAUGGGGAUCGACGGUUGCAAUUUUCCGUCGUGAACGAGGAAUACCUUGUAGGCGCAUGUCAUCAUCAUGCGCCGAAUACGUCCCUGCCCUUUGUACACACCGCCCGUCGCUGCCCGGAACUGAGCCGUUUCGAGAAAGCCGGGGACUGACGGCUUGUGGGUGCGCAAGCGCUUCUUGCCGAUGGAAACCAGUUUAAUCGGUAUGGCUUGAACCGGGCAAAAGUCGUAACA